GACCCCCCGGCCCGGGAUAGCCCCAGGGAAACCUGGAUUAAUACCGGAUGAGACGGGACCCGCGAUGGCGGGACCCGGGAAAGGCGCUGCGGCGCCGCCGGGGGAUGAGUCUGCGUCCCAUUAGCUAGACGGCGGGUAACGGCCCACCGUGGCGACGAUGGGUAGCCGGCCUGACGAGGGUGGACGGCCACAUUGGAACUGAGACACGGUCCAGACUCCUACGGGAGGCAGCAGCUAAGAAUCUUCCGCAAUGGGCGAAAGCCUGACGGAGCGAACCGCCGCGUGAACGAAGAAGGCCGUGAGGUUGUAAAGUUCUUUUCGGGAGGGGGAACAACCGUGGCAGGGAAUGGCCGCGGGAUGACGUGAAUCCCGGAAUAAGCCCCGGCUAACUACGUGCCAGCCGCCGC
rnacentral:rRNA from 1 species